UGGUCAAGUUAUUAAGGGUGCAGGGCGGAUGCCUUGGCACUAGGAGCCGAUGAAGGACGUGAUAAGCUGCGAUAAGCUUCGGGGAGUUGCACGGAAACUUUGAUCCGAAGAUUUCCGAAUGAGGAAACUCACUUAGAGUAAUGUCUAAGUAUCAUUAAGUGAAUACAUAGCUUAAUGAGGGGAACUCAGGGAACUGAAACAUCUAAGUACCUGAAGGAAGAGAAAGAAAUUCGAUUCCGUAAGUAGCGGCGAGCGAACGCGGAUUAGCCCAAACCAAUAAAGUUUUCUUUAUUGGGGUUGCGGACAUAUCAUAACGAAGAGGUAUCGUAAUUGAAGAGGUUUGGAAAGACCCACCACAGAAGGUAAUAGUCCUGUAUGUUAAACGAGAAGACUUUAGAUAUGAUCCAGAGUACCACGGGACACGUGAAACCCUGUGGGAAGCAGGAGGGACCACCCUCCAAGGCUAAAUACUACCUAGUGACCGAUAGCGUAUA
rnacentral:rRNA from 1 species